rnacentral:tRNA from 1 species
GCGUGCUUAGCUCAGUUGGUUAGAGCAUCUCGUUUACACCGAGAGGGUCGGGGGUUCGAGUCCCUCAGCACGCA